rnacentral:rRNA from 1 species
CCUACGGGAGGCAGCAGUGGGGAAUAUUGGACAAUGGGGGCAACCCUGAUCCAGCCAUGCCGCGUGUGUGAAGAAGGUCCUCGGGUUGUAAAGCACUUUCAGUGAGGAAGAACGCCUGGUGGUUAAUACCCAUCAGGAAAGACAUCACUCACAGAAGAAGCACCGGCUAACUCCGUGCCAGCAGCCGCGGUAAUACGGAGGGUGCGAGCGUUAAUCGGAAUUACUGGGCGUAAAGCGCGCGUAGGUGGCUUGAUAAGCCGGUUGUGAAAGCCCCGGGCUCAACCUGGGAACGGCAUCCGGAACUGUCAAGCUAGAGUGCAGGAGAGGAAGGUAGAAUUCCCGGUGUAGCGGUGAAAUGCGUAGAGAUCGGGAGGAAUACCAGUGGCGAAGGCGGCCUUCUGGACUGAAACUGACACUGAGGUGCGAAAGCGUGGGUAGCAAACAGGAUUAGAUACCACAGUAGUC